GCAAGUCGAACGAGAUGUUCGGAUCUUGUGGCGCCCGGGUGCGUAACGCGUGGGAAUCUGCCCUUGGGUUCGGAAUAACAUCUGGAAACGGAUGCUAAUACCGGAUGAUGACGUAGGUCCAAAGAUUUUACCGCCCAAGGAUGGGCCCGCGUAGGAUUAGCUAGUUGGUGAGGUAAUGGCUCCCCAAGGCGACGAUCCUUAGCUGGUCUGAGAGGAUGAUCAGCCACACUGGGACUGAGACACGGCCCAGACUCCUACGGGAGGCAGCAGUGGGGAAUAUUGGACAAUGGGCGAAAGCCUGAUCCAGCAAUGCCGCGUGAGUGAUGAAGGCCUUAGGGUUGUAAAGCUCUUUUAACCGGGAUGAUAAUGACAGUACCGGGAGAAUAAGCUCCGGCUAACUCCGUGCCAGCAGCCGCGGUAAU
rnacentral:rRNA from 1 species